GGAGGGCGCGUACCACUUUGUGAUUCAUGACUGGGGUGAUGUCGUAACAAGGUAACCGUAGGGGAACCUGCGGUUGGAUCACCUCCUUACCUUAUAGAA
rnacentral:rRNA from 1 species